AGUAGGCUAAGAUCAUAAUGAUUACUGUAGUAGGCUGAGAACCAGGAUGUAGGGAAUAAACGUCAUUGUGAUUAUUGUUUACAACCGAACAACACGGCUUGUUACUACUCUACAUUGGCGACGAGAGUAAAGUUCAGUUUUCUGCGGUUAAUUUGUUCAUUGGUCCUAGAGAGGCAUAAAAGAUUCAGACAUUUGGUAAUAGUGGUAUGUACAGUAUUUCGAACAAGGAAGAAGGUAUUGUGACUCGGAACAGUUCAAAUGAAAACGUUUUGGCUAAAAGAAAUAGAAAGGAAGAAGAUAAGGAGGUUGCACCCUUAGUGAAAUUUGAACAUAUAUAUAGAACUGAAAAAAAAGGUGGACCUUCGGUUUGAGCGGAAUAUGCUUGAAUUGUGACAGUGGUAUUACAUCGGUUCGAUUGAGGAGCUGCACAUGCGAGAGAUGUAGGAUUCCUGAAAUCUGUUUAGCCGGGACAGAAAACAAUGAGCUCUCACCACAGCAAACGCAAUUGAUGAAGCAUUUCUAUUCCAUGGUUUCUGACGUAAGUAGAAAAUUAUGCAAUUAUAUUUGAUGUUAAAAAAAAAUGUAUCAUUUGAUUCGAGAAAUUUAAGUUAUGAAUAUUUUGUUACAUGACUAUAUAGUGUGAACAAAUGAGUGAACAAAAAUGCGAAUGUACAAUAAGCACGGUUUCAGAAAAAAAUGUUUGAAUUUAAUCCUGAUUGAUUGAUUGAUUUGUCUUUAUUUAGGAGACUUUCAGCCGAAUUGAAUUCUCAAUAAGUAGUGUAGCGAUUAUCUCCAGAAUAAUUCUAGAAAGUUUUGUGACAUAUUGUUAACCUAAAGAAAUAAUAUUGCAAUAAUACAGAACACCAUUCGAUUAUUAUAAAUUCGACAGAUUUCAACAUUCAAUGCGAUAUUAUGAAAGCUGACAUAUAGAAUCAGCUGAACAUCAAUGAGUUUCAGCAAUGAUCGUUUUAAUGGCAGAAUAGAGAAGAUAAAUAUAUUUUUUGUAAAAUAAUCAGCGAUGUUUUGAAACAAAUGGCUUGGACUAAUUCAAAAGGAUUUUUUUAUUAAAGGUUUCGUAAAAAAAGAAAUGUGUGAAAUAAGGUUAUAAAGCCAUUUUAUUAGUUUGUUCUAAAACUAGCUUCGUUAUUAAAAAAAAAAAACAUGCAUAAUUCUAAUAGAAUUUGAAUGAAUAUCAUAAUACUUAAGGACAGACUUGUUAGGAUCCCGAAAUGGCCACCCUAAUGACCGAUUUUGGCACCUACUCAUGAUUUCGAGGGCACAAAUCUCUACGUAAACAAAACUAGCGCACCUGAUCUUCUUAUUUAAAGCUUAUUACAAGUGAGCAAGAACAGAAUAAUAAAAUGCACCGUUGUUUGAAAAUUGCUUAUUGAAAUUUGUGCGUGUGACGUUCUGAAGCACUGUUGAAGCGGGAUUUCAAGACGUUUAUCCUUAAGCAGAUGCCAUAUAGCAAGACCAUGAUGAGAGUAACGGGUUCUAUGCCUGGUCGGACCAGAAUCUUUUCGCAAAGGAAAUAUAUUUAUUUCUUUGAGCAUGAAAUAUCUCGGUGCACACAACACGAAAUAUGAAUGCUCAGACGGUAAUAUCUAAUAAAGUUGUGUUUACUGAUUCACAUUACAAUGUUGUGCUUGCAGCACGAUUCACAGAUGUAUUCAAUGACAGGAGGCAUUAAACUGUGAGAAUACUCCAAUGCACUAUUCUCCAAUGCUACUAUUGGUAAUAGUUAGGUGAAGUGGAAAAUCAGGUUAUUAAGAAAAAAGUGAUUGGUCUGGCACAAUUAUGAAACUUGAAUGGAUGAAUUCGAUGAUGCACAAGGCGUCAGUGUUCAAAACACAGUAACAGUAAAUCACUAAACAGGUCUUUGAUAGCGUAUUAAAUAUGACAUGAACAAUGUUAUCCUAAUUAUUAUUCAGCCAAUAGAUAUAUUGAACAUAGAAGUCCUGUCUAGUACAUAGACUAGGGUUUGAAGAUCGUCAGAAUAACUGUAAAAUAAAAUAUCAUAGAAAUCAUUGAAGUAGAAACCUGCCAACAUAAGAAAAAAUAGAAAUUUACGAAUUGUCACGGAAUUGUUCAACAUUCAAAUUCCAAAACACUAUUUGAAACUAUUAAAUAUUUCUAGUGUGGUUUUAUAUACAAAUGCAAGGGAUAACAUGAUCCUAGUGAGUUUGGCGGUGAAGAAACAAUGGAAUGUAGAGGAUACCAAAUCCUAGUCCAUUCCUUGCAAGAAACGUACGGAACUUUUGGAAAGUUCUAGUCCGUUUCUGUAUCCAAAUAUAAGGGAUGAAGUCAUCCUAGUCUAUUUGGAGUAGAAAAAAUGGAAUGUAGGGGAUUGCAAAUCCUAGUCCAUUCCUAGCAAGAAACGUAGGGAGCUAAGAGAGUUCUAGUCCGUUUCUGUAUCCAAAUAUAGGGGAUAAAGUUAUCCUAGUCUAUUUGGAGUUCAAAGAAAAAAAAAUGGAAUGUAGGGGGUCACGGAUCCUAGUCCAUUCCUAGAAUGAAACGUAGGGAACUUUUGGAAAGUUCUAGUCCGUUUCUGUAUCCAAAUAUAGGGGAUGAAGUCAUCCUAGUCUAUUUGGAGUAGAAAAAAAAAUGGAAUGUAGGGGAUUGUAAAUCCUAGUCCAUUCCUAGCAAGAAACGUAGGGAGCUAAAAGAGUUCUAGUCCGUUUCUGUAUCCAAAUAUAGGGGAUAAAGUUAUCCUAGUCUAUUUGGAGUUUAAAAAAAAAAUGGAUGAAGAGGAUUACGAAUCCUAAUCCAUUCUCGGUUCAAGAUGCAUUAUAUUACAUCUUGAAUUACAGACAGUAUUACAGACCAAAAUGAAGGAGCCCAGCUCAGUUCGUUUGGUUCUAUUCUAGAUAUGGAUGUUUAUAAGGACAAUUAUUUUUGAAAAAAUGAAGAUUAUUAUCAAGAUGAAAUCUGAAGCUGUGGUGAGCAUGGUACAUAGGAGAAUCCAAAGAAAAAAAAAACUCAACCACUGCACUGUGGUAAGCGUAUUCAACUAAAUGGUCAAAAGAAGGAGGUAAACAUAACCAGAACAUUGCCAGGAUUUCGGAAAACGCAUAGGAAGGCUUCGCUGAUGAACAUUGACGAUUGACGAAAGCAUCCUCUGGAGGAAGUCUUGGAUAUCAUGAUAUUACUAUAUGAGUUCAACGGGGCUUCGAUUAAAAAUCAUCAAAUAUUGUUCAAAAGAUUUCUCAUAUUUAAUAGGUUAGUUCAACUAUUUGAAGAAAGGGAGAGAUGUAGUAGGCUAAGAUCAUAAUGAUUACUGUAGUAGGCUGAGAACCAGGAUGUAGGGAAUAAACGUCAUUGUGAUUAUUGUUUACAACCGAACAACACGGCUUGUUACUAC